UUCAAUACAAAAAAACAUUCAAUACUGAUAAAAAUAGUAUAUAAUAAGAAACAAAACAAUUUUCAAUAUAAAUAAUAAUCUAAUUAAUGCUGAUGUAACAAUAUUUAUGUACAAUAACUAUAUACUGUAUAUUUUAAAAGUUAAAAUAAAUAUUAAAAUCUAAUUGUUGUUUUAAAUUAAAUGAUGUUUUGCUUUUUAAUGUAAAAUUUAUUAAUUUUAUGUAAUAUAACUUUUUAUAUUAUGUUUUCCUAUUAGUUGAAAUGUUGUUAGUUAGAUAUUUAAAAAAAUAUUUUUGUUUACAAAUAUAUAAAUUAAGAGGUUGAUUGUUUCCAGUUUUUGGAAUAGUUUUUGGUUUUUGUUUUUCCAAAACCCAUUUUUCAUCCAAUCAAAAUUUUUGAGAAAACGCUUUCCUAAAUUAUAGGAAAACUAGUUUUUAAAAUAAGUGUCUAUUUCUAAACAAAAACCAAAAUCCAAUUUUUCUAGUCUUUUUGCAUAGAACAUGUUUUACUUUUAUUCUUGUUACAAAUAAAAAUUAUUAAAAACUGCCGUAGGGUAUGUAAAAUCUAUAUAUAUAUAUAUAUAUAUAUAAAUGUUUGCUUAUCUCUUGUUGCGCGACGUGAGCAUCCACGUCAAUAAAGUCGGGCAACAUCGCAAGGGAAUGACUCAAAUCUGAUUACUCACAUAAGUCGCAAGGGUUUCUGUUCUUCUUCCAAGUCCAUUACUUUUUCUGCGUUCUCUCUCACACCAUCAAUGGUGUUUCGAUGACUGAAACUAGAUGGAGAAUCUCUUCGUCUGUCUCCACAUGCGUCGUUUAGCCUUCUACUCCACUCAACCGAAACCGUCCGAAUCGCCAUCAUCGCCUUCUUAACUCCAAAGACCGACAUUUAGCACGAUCUUGGCAUUGAUUGUGAGUUAUGUCUCUGCAAGGCAGUCUAUUCUUCAUCUAUAAAAGGGUAGCUUUUUCAUUUGAACAACAUCCUCACAAUCCUGUGAAAACACUAAAUCUUUCUUUCUGAUUUGAAAUCUGGACGCUGCUUCUCCAACGUCUAAGUGUUGUUGCUCAGAUCCUGGAAGCCAAGAAUGUGAAAAGUGGAGGGGAACUGAUGUAUCUUGAUGUGCUCUUACUGGAUUCAAAGAGAAUUGAUGGUAAAAGGAAUUUGUUGCACGAGAUCACUAGACUUUCACCUAAGGCAAAGAUAAGCUUUUUAUUAGUUCUCUUGACAUAAAUCAUCAGGCAUCUCCUUAUGCUAUCUAUGGACCUAAUUAGUUUAGAAUUCUACUGAUAGUUAGGAAGAAGUAUACUCCUUGAUAGAGUAAUAUCAAUAUUAAAUAUUUGUAUGUAUGUGUUUUGUCUAGGAUUAGACUUAGUCUCUUCAAUUCGUUCAAAGUGCUUCUCUUCAGAUUGAUCAUAUAAUUUGGAAGCUUAAUUAAAUCUAUUAUGUUGGCUCCGUGUUUGAUUUUCUUUUCUCUAGGCACUUCACUCUCGGGACGUUCAGUCAAACAUUGCUCCAACAAGUAGUGAACCUUACGCCAGAACAACAAUAUGAAGUACUAAAGCUGCAACAAGUUCUCACGCACGACCACAUAUGGGACAAGCAACUGGGUUGGUCAGUUUCAUUUGACUGAAACUUGCAGCAAUGAACAUGGUUUCUCACACUCAAAUUACCAAAAGAAGAAGAAGGCUCUCUCUCAAGGGAUAGAAAUUGAUCGGGUCUUCUUUUGGAGUUCUGGAAUACAUGGAUGGAGCCUUUCUGCAAGCAGAAUCAUAUGAAUGUGGGUUUUGUCUAUAUUUUAUAGAGAGGGAAUGAUGAGAGACAGUAUUUUGUUUCAAAUUCUUAAAUACAGAUUGGAAUAGGUGAGACGUACCAUUGCAGACCUGAGAGAAGGGACAAAAAUGCUAUAUGAGUUGAGACUGUUUCUCAUUUAUCUCCACAAUUAUGUAUUUCUCUCUAUCUCUCUUCUAACCAAGAGAAGGAGGCAAUCAUUUGGAUGAUGAUUCUGAUCAAAACCAGGAUUGGCAUUUUUUAUAGGUGUGAAGGACAUGAAAAGAUAUAGAUGAGAAAGGUUCAGAGAUUAUACUUUUUAAUGUUCCUCACCAACAAAGAUGAGGGAAAAAGACAAACAAUAAAAAGGAUUAAUGAUUACAUUUUUUAUGGUAAGAUAAUUUUGUAAAUUUUAACAAAAAGGGGAAUUAGUAGAACUAGUAAAUUUCUGAUUUAAUGAUUACAUUUUUACGUUUUUACGUUUUUAUGGUAAGAUAAUUUUGUAAUUUUAACAAAAAGAGAAAAUAGUAGAGUUGGUAUAACUAUAAGUAAAUUUCUCAUUUGUAAAUUUCUAUUUUUCGGCUUAUUCCAACAGUCACUCUAUUCUGAGGGAUUUGGUUAACAUGUGUUUAUAUGUGUCUAUCUUCCGAGUCAUGAAAGCUUUGUAAACUACUUACUUGGCUAUACUUAAGAGCCAAAACCAAUAUCUUCAUGCUGGUUCUUCCGAGAAUUACAAUCGAGAAGAAAAAGAAAGAUUAUGCAACAAUUACUUUUACAUAUGGCUCUCUCCGAGAAGUAACAGUUGAGGACAAUGUCAAUGAGAAGAGAAAUACAAACAACAUAGAUGCAAUGUUGGUUCCAUAGAUUCUAUGAUUCUCUAUAUCUCUCUAAACUAAUUGGCCAUCCGAACAAUUUAACUAAGUUUUACAAAGAAAAAAUUAUUUGCUUCAUAAAGUUCUUUAUGAAUUUAACCAAAAAUAUAUUGGUUUAAAUUCCAUGAACGUAAAGAUACAUUAUCUUUUGUAGUCUACAUAUUAUGAUUUUAAAGUAGCUAUUGGUUUGAAUCUAUUUUUAUAACUUUAUAUUAUAGUAAUAUACUAUAAGGGAUUAUUAAUUUCAUAGUAAUAUAAUUUUAAAAAUCCUGCUUAAAUGAAUGAGUGUUACUUAAUCUGAAAAUGUAGUACGACCUUGGCUUCAUAUGGUUUAUUUGAUAAAAUUUUGGAUAAUAUGGUUUAUUUGAUAAUAUUUUUAAU